GACGAACGCUGGCGGCGUGCUUAAUACAUGCAAGUCGAACGGUGAGGGCCGGUACUUGUACCAAGUGGAUGAGCAGAGAGCGUGUGAGUAACGUGUGUGGAAUGUGCCUGUGAGCGGGGUACCACCUGUGGAAAGGAAUGCUAAUACGGCAGAAGCACUUGAAACACAGGGUGGGAGGUUGAAAGAUGGAGUUUCGUCACUCAAAGAUGAUCCCGCGUUGUAUUAGCUGGUUGGUGAGUUAAAGGCGCACCAAGGCGUUGAAGCAUAGCAGACCUGAGAGGGUGGGCGGCCACCUUGAGACUGUGACACGGCACAAAGUCAUACGGAAGGCAGCAGUAGGGAAUCUGCGGCAAUGGGCGAAAGAUUGACCGCGAAACGCGGCGUGCGUGAGGAAGAUCUCCGGGUCGUAGAACUCUGUCGGUGGAGUAGAACGCUGGUGAGCGUGGAACGCUCCGCAAGUGACGGUAACGGCUCAGGAAGGAACGGCUAACUACGUG
rnacentral:rRNA from 1 species